UAUUAAAAAUUUCAUCUUUUUUACUGUUAAAAACUAACAUGAUUAACAGAAUAACUGGACAAUUAUAUGUGGUAUGCACAUAUACCUUAUUUUGACUUACAAGACCAAUUUUUAACCAUAAAAAUAGAUGAAAUUUUUAUGA
rnacentral:pre_miRNA from 1 species